CGAAUGCUGACGUGAGUAACGACAAAACGGGUGAAAAACCCGUUCGCCGAAAGACCAAGGGUUCCAGUCCAACGUUAAUCGGGGCUGGGUGAGUCGACCCCUAAGGCGAGGCCGAAAGGCGUAGUCGAUGGGAAAAUGGUUAAUAUUCCAUUACUUCUGUGUAAUGCGAUGAGAGGACGGAGAAGGCUAAAUCAGCCUGGCGUUGGUUGUCCAGGUGAAAGGAUGUAGGCAUGUAUCUUAGGCAAAUCCGGGGUACUCUAUGCUGAGAUCUGAUAGCAAGCUGUACUUGUACAGCGAAGUGGUUGAUGCCAUGCUUCCAGGAAAAGUCUCUAAGCUUCAGUUACACAGGAAUCGUACCCGAAACCGACACAGGUGGUCAGGUCGAGUAGACCAAGGCGCUUGAGAGAACUCUGCUGAAGGAACUAGGCAAAAUGGUACCGUAACUUCGGGAGAAGGUACGCUGUUGUUGGUGAUGGAACUCGCUUCCUGAGCUGACGACAGCCGCAGAAACCAGGCCGCUGCAACUGUUUAUUAAAAACAUAGCACUCUGCAAACACGAAAGUGGACGUAUAGGGU
rnacentral:rRNA from 1 species